GAGUGAAGAGGGAAGAGCUCAUCAUUGGAAUCUGGCAGUGUUGCACUGUCCGAGUUGUAGAUGAGGAGUAGUCCGUCUGGACUGCAUGGCGUCCAAGUACAAUAGGCCGUCAGUGGGACAUCAUAGAGGGUGACAAUCCCGUCCUUGACGCUAAUGUGCAAGUCUAUUACGAUGGCUAUCUCAGAGAGUCGAGCAGUUUGGGAUUUGCUGCUUAAACAUGGGAGGUAGAUUCCUUCUAAAGCUAAAUACAGGCGAGAGACCGAUAGAGAACAAGUACCGCAAGGGAAAGAUGAAAUAGCACUCUGUGAAGGGAGUCAAAAGGCGUGAAAUUGUUGCGAGAGAAGCGAUUCAAGUCAGCGUAGCUAGGCCCAUCAAGCGUCUUCGCUUUGGACUAGCUUUGCCAGCGGUCUUGUCCCUUAAAGAGACUUGACUUGUAAUAUGUCCAGCCUGGCGUGCACAGGCAGCCCCUUCUGGGGGCCAGUGGCAUGGCUGGUGGAAUGGCUUGCAAUCGACCCGUCUUGAAACACGGACCAAGGAGUCUAACAUGUAUGCGAGUAUAAGGGUGGCAAACCCGUAUGCGCAAUGAAAGUGAUUUUCGGUGAUUGAGAAUGGCCUGAUGACCAGACAAGCAAUACAUGUCCCUCGUACGGCCAUUGCCCAAGUUCCGUGGUAGAUCCCACGAACAUGGAGUUGGAGCAUACAUGCUAGGACCCGAAAGAUGGUGAACUAUGCCUGGACAAAGCGAAGCCAAAGGAAACUCUGGUGGAGGCUUGUAGCGAUUCUGACGUGCAAAUCGAUCGUCUGAUCUG
rnacentral:rRNA from 1 species